UACGUAGGUGGCAAGCGUUGUCCGGAUUUACUGGGCGUAAAGAGCGCGCAGGCGGUCGGAUCAGUCGAAUGUGAAAGCCCCCGGCUCAACUGGGGAGGGUCAUUCGAUACUGUCCGACUCGAAGGCAGGAGAGGGAAGCGGAAUUCCCGGUGUAGUGGUGAAAUGCGUAGAUAUCGGGAGGAACACCAGUGGCGAAGGCGGCUUUCUGGCCUGUUCUUGACGCUGAGGCUCGAAAGCUAGGGGAGCGAACGGG
rnacentral:rRNA from 1 species